rnacentral:rRNA from 1 species
UACGUAGGUGGCAAGCGUUGUCCGGAUUUACUGGGCGUAAAGGGCGUGCAGGCGGUUUGUUAAGUUCAGGGUGAAAGCUCCCGGCUCAACUGGGAGAGGUCCUUGGAUACUGGCAGACUUGAGGAGGGUAGAGGAGAGUGGAAUUCCCGGUGUAGUGGUGAUAUGCGUAGAUAUCGGGAGGAACACCAGUGGCGAAGGCGGCUCUCUGGGCCGAUACUGACGCUGAGGAGCGAAAGCGUGGGGAGCAAACAGG